GACGAACGCUGGCGGCGCGCCUAACACAUGCAAGUCGAACGAGCGAGAGAGAGCUUGCUUUCUCGAGCGAGUGGCGAACGGGUGAGUAACGCGUGAGGAACCUGCCUCAAAGAGGGGGACAACAGUUGGAAACGACUGCUAAUACCGCAUAAGCCCACGACCCGGCAUCGGGUAGAGGGAAAAGGAGCAAUCCGCUUUGGGAUGGCCUCGCGUCCGAUUAGCUAGUUGGUGAGGUAACGGCCCACCAAGGCGACGAUCGGUAGCCGGACUGAGAGGUUGAACGGCCACAUUGGGACUGAGACACGGCCCAGACUCCUACGGGAGGCAGCAGUGGGGAAUAUUGCAAAAUGGGGGAAACCCUGAUGCAGCGACGCCGCGUGGAGGAAGAAGGUCUGCGGAUUGUAAACUCCUGUUGUUGAGGAAGAUAAUGACGGUACUCAACAAGGAAGAGACGGCUAACUACGUG
rnacentral:rRNA from 1 species